UCAAAGUAGCGGCAAGCCUUUGGGUUGUCUCUUCGGAGACAUCCGAUAAAAUUGGAACGAUACAGAGAAGAUUAGCAUGGCCCCUGCGCAAGGAUGACACGCAUAAAUCGAGAAAUGGUCCAAAUUUUUUUUUUUCCUCCUCCCUGCUUUAGGGCUCUUGGUUUUCUUCUUCCUUUCCAUCUCUUUUGUGCGAUUUAUACCACGUAUUGAAGAUGCCGGAUGAUGUUGCAAACCCUAGAUCUUGUCUGCUUUCAUGCUUUUUUUUUUUUCUCCUUCUCUUGCUUCGUGCAAUUUAUACGAGGUGUGAAGACAUCAGAAAGGGAGGGAGACCCGACUGUAUUGUAAUUAUCUAGGUCCUUAUACCUGAGAAUGCACAACCCAAGACUCAAAUCUGGAAUCUCUGGUUGCUAAGUAGAGUAUGACCACUGGGCAGCUAUCUUACCCUCUGAACUCCUAUCUUUACUUCCUAUAAAACCAACAUAUAGAGGUCAGAGUGCCUGGAGUCAAUCUUAGGAAGUGAAGGAAGUGAAAACUUCCUUCCACCUUCUUCCAUGCUCUUCACAAACGCCACAAAAUGCCGUCAAUUCUCUUCAAUGGAGGCAGCAGCUUGCAGAGAAGCUUUCAUGUACUGUUAAAUGACAUAUACUCAUGAGAGAUUUGAUUAAUGUGUGUAUAAAUUUGGAUGCAAUAUUGCUGAUUUUCAUUUUACUUGUUGCCUUGCACAUGAUCGGAGGACGUUUCUUUUAAUCAUACGUUUCUUGAGAUCUUCCUUAUGAUCUGAAUACUGAUGGUCUUUCCGAACAAUGUUCAAGUCUACAGGCUUUACUCAGAAAAAGAAUUUUACUAGAUACUAUUGUGAAUACUUCAGAACUUUUACAGCAUCAUUAUCUAAUUUGCUGCAAAUCGUACAUAAGCUAAAUUGAGUGUGUUUUCAAUUACCUUGUCAUAGCAUUUCGAUUCUCCGAUCCUGGGAAAUCUCAUUGCUCUUGGGGUAAGAUGGAUAUCGCAGUUCCCUACAGGGGCCCAUCCCCACUUGAAUUUACUGAAGUAUCACAAAAUGUUGAAGAUUGCUUGAAGACUUAAAACGAGGUCAUGUCGAAGAUUGGGUUCUUCAAAUGUGAGCUAUGGAUGUUCAGCAUCGAUAAAAUUGGUGCACGAUGUUCUACCAAUGCUUCUUGGACUUAAUGGAGUUAAUGAUCUAGGACUUCAAUUAAUUUUGCAAAUUAUGUUGGCUUUUCCAUAUAGCUGAUCAUUUGUUCUCAAGAAUGGACCAUGGAUUGGAUGAUCAGAAGAAUCAAAUGCGGUAACUAAGAUAUCACUGUCCGGUCACAAGACUUGUGGUCAAGAACUUUUCCUUGAUUAGUAAUUGGUUGUGAAUUUGAUAUGGAGGAUUGGUGCUCACCACAACCACAUCAUCAAGGUGGUCGAAGAAAAUCUCAGUAAAACUUCUCAUGCAGCAGGAUUCUGCACUGGCAGCGUGUCGCAACCUCAGUAGAUAUACUCUGGGUUCCGCCUCCCAUCUGUUGGUGUAUAUGAUAUCUGGAUCCCUGCUAAUUUCCUCAGGAAUCCAUGGUGGUAAUUGUAUGCUGCAAAACAUUCCCAUUCAGGAAAUGUUGAUUUUUGAGAUAAGAAACAAACAAAAGCUUUAGAAUCAA